UCUUCACUUCUCCCUCCUUCACUCCCCAAUCUCCCAUUCUCAUACUUUGCCCCAAAAUUUCGCCCAUCCUUCACUCCCUAAUCUCCCAUUCUCAGAUUUUGCCCCAAAAUUUUGCCUUCCUCCUUCAAUCUCCCAAUCGGCCUUCCUCUUUCACGCCUCCGGCACCGGCAGCAACGCAGGACCCACCGACGCACUCCAUCGACAGUCGCACUCCAACGGCAAUAACCCACCGGCACCAUCGACUUCAAUUUGUGCACCCUUGUGUGGAGAGAGAAUAGUCCAAGCUUGGCUUUUGAGUUCUUCAGCAUUGAUAUGAUUGUUACAAGGUUGACGUCUUUUGGUUAAUCUUUCUCCCAGAUUGAACUGAAGACUGCUCCAUCUGAUUUUCGAUUCCCUACAACAAACCAGACUAGGCAUUGUUUCACAUGUAUGUUGAGUUUCACAGGUGUGUGGUAGCUAAAGGUGGGAAGGUUGAUGACUCUGAGAAAUUUGCUUCCUACUUGUAUAUUCAAAAAUUCAGAGACUAAUAGGAAUGUUAGAUUUUGACUUGUUUUACAUAUUCAAUUGUAUAUUGAUGAAUGAAAUCUCAUCAAGCAUAUGAAAUGCAUAUUUUAUGUUUUUUCAA